CCUAUGCUGCCAAGAAAAGCAUCGACGCGAGGUUUUAGCCGCCCGUACCCCAAACCGACACAGGUGGUCAGGUAGAGAAUACUAAGGAGAUCGAGAGAAUCAUGGUGAAGGAACUCGGCAAAAUGCCCCCGUAACUUCGGGAGAAGGGGGGCCAUCCACUUAUACGGAUUUACUCCGGAAAGGGUGUGGUGGCCGCAGAGACCAGUGGGAAGCGACUGUUUACUAAAAACACAGGUCCGUGCGAACAAGCAAUUGGAUGUAUACGGACUGACGCCUGCCCGGUGCUGGAAGGUUAAGAGGAGAGGUCAACCCUUCGGGGUGAAGCUUUGAAUUUAAGCCCCAGUAAACGGCGGUGGUAACGAUAACCAUCCUAAGGUAGCGAAAUUCCUUGUCGGGUAAGUUCCGACCUGCACGAAUGGCGUAACGACUUCCCAGCUGUCUCCACCAUGAACUCGGCGAAAUUGCACUACGAGUAAAGAUGCUCGUUACGCGCGGAAGGACGGAAAGACCCCGUGACCUUUACUACAGCUUGGUAUUGGUGUUCGGUGUGGCUUGUGUAGGAUAGGUGGGAGACUGUGAAGCAGGGACGCUAGUUCUUGUGGAGUCAUUGUUGAAAUACCACUCUGGUCAUAUUGGAUAUCUAACUACGGACCCUGAUCGGGUUCUGGGACAGUGCCUGGUGGGUAGUUUAACUGGGGCGGUUGCCUCCUAAAGAGUAACGGAGGCGCCCAAAGGUUCCCUCAACCUGGUUGGCAAUCAGGUGGCGAGUGUAAGUGCACAAGGGAGCUUGACCGUGAGACUGACAGGUCGAGCAGGGACGAAAGUCGGGACUAGUGAUCCGGCAGUGGCUUGUGGAAGCGCUGUCGCUCAACGGAUAAAAGGUACCUCGGGGAUAACAGGCUGAUCUUGCCCAAGAGUCCAUAUCGACGUCAUGGUUUGGCACCUCGAUGUCGGCUCGUCGCAUCCUGGGGCUGGAGUAGGUCCCAAGGGUUGGGCUGUUCGCCCAUUAAAGCGGUACGCGAGCUGGGUUUAGAACGUCGUGAGACAGUUCGGUCCCUAUCCUCUGCGCGCGUUGGAAAUUUGAGAGGAUCUGACCCUAGUACGAGAGGACCGGGUUGGACGGACCUCUGGUGUGCCAGUUGUUCUGCCAAGGGCAUGGCUGGUUGGCUACGUUCGGGAUGGAUAACCGCUGAAAGCAUCUAAGCGGGAAGCCGGCCUCGAGAUGAGAUUUCCGUCACCCUUGUGGUGGUGAGGCUCCCAGGAGAUUACUGGGUUGAUAGGCCAGAUGUGGAAGCACCGUAAGGUGUGGAGCUGACUGGUACUAAUAAGCCGAUGGCUUG
rnacentral:rRNA from 1 species